rnacentral:lncRNA from 1 species
UUGGCCAUAGGACUAUUAAUUGCGAAGCUACAUGUACAUAGUACUUAUACAUAAUUCAUGAAUGCAAAACUAUUCAAAAAUCUUCUGAAUAGAACAUCUAAAUAGAAUAAAGCAUGGUUAAUUGAAUACAUAAACAACACAUUUUUGUGUUAUGGAAUUUACUAAAAAUUGUCAAAAAUCUGCCCUUCGGGUCUAAGCAGAAACGAACUUCUUUAUUACUUUGUCAAUAUUCACACAAAA